UCUCUGAUCUCAAUCUCCCUGGUCUCUCUUUAAUCUGUUUUUCUGUGUAAGCACCUCGGCCCAAAAAUCUCUGCCAUUGGUGCCCUGCUCCUUUUCUGGUCUCUCUAAAACUGUUGCUCUUCUCUCUUGAUUUCUAUACUCUCGCUAUUUUCUCUGUUCUCCAUUUUUUCUCUCAAUCUCUAAGAUCUCUCCCAAUCUCUCUCAGACUUCUCCACUUUCUCUCUCUCAUGCUAUUUUUCCCUCAAAUCUUUAUCUACUAAUCUCUCAAUCUAUCUCUUGUUACUUUCUCUCUCUCACCAUUUUUCCCUCAUAUCUCUCUGACCACUCAUUACUUUCUCUCUCUCACACAAUGUUUUUCCCUCAUCUCUCGCUAUUGAUCUCUCUCUCUCAUGCUAUUUUGGGGGAAGGGUUUCUCUUCAAGUGAGGGUCUUGGGUUUGCUUUGUUGGCCACAUUGUGGAUGGAACUCUCUCUCUCUAGGAUCUUGAAGCCCGCUUGCUUCAUGACUUUCUUUCUCUAGGGAUCUUGAAGCAUAUCUACUUCCUGACUCUCUCUCUCUAGGGAUCUUGAAGCCUGUCUGCUUCAUGCCUUGGGUCAUUGUCUCAUAGGGAUCCUUGGAUCUCUAUCUCUCUGGGCAGGCAGGUGGAUUGGUUCUCUCUCGAAGAUCUUGGGUUCAUGGUGGAUUGAAUCUGGUCCAGUAGUUUGGGUAUUCCUCAGGUCUCUCUCUCUAGGCAAGAAGCUAAAAUAUGCUUCAGAGAUUGGUUCUCAAGCUCGACUCCAUAAUGAUACAAAGAAAGUUGAUAUCCCUCUUGAAGUCAAUGCCAAAUUUCGAGUUACAGACGAAAAAACUCUUCCUAACCCAACCUUUCAUAGGCAAUUGGUUGGAAACCUGAUAUAUCUGACAAUUUCACUCCCUGAUAUUGCUUAUGCAGUACAUAUGGAAAUCAGAGUGAUCACAAAUCUGCCACAUGAUUCUACAUUUUCUUCGGUGAUUCUCUUAUAUCUUUGAAAAACAAGAAACAGAAACAAAUUGCUCAAUCAACUACUGAAGCUGAAUACCAGGCUAUGGCAUAAACCACCACUGAGAUUUUGGCUAUGUUAGCUGCUUGCAGACGUAGAUAUCACUAUCUCAACUCCUACUCCACUUUAUUGUGAGAACAAGAGUGCCAUUUAUAUUUCUAAAAAUCUGGAAUUUCAUGAGCGAGCGAAACAUGUUGAAGUCCAUUGCCACUAUGUUAGACAAGAACAUCUCUUAUGCACAAUUUCCUUACCAUAUGUGACCACCGCAACACAACUCGCCGAUUUCUUCACUAAGUUUCAUCAUCUAUAUUCUUUUCUCACAGUUUGUUUCCAAACUUUUCAUGAUUCCUUUCAAAUAAUCUCGAGUUUGAGGGGGAGUAUGAACAGACAUGGUAAUAUAACAAAUAUGGCA